rnacentral:rRNA from 1 species
UACGAAGGGUGCAAACGUUGCUCGGAAUCAUUGGGCGUAAAGCGCACGUAGGCGGCCUCGCAAGUCUGAUGUGAAAUCCCUCGGCUCAACCGAGGACGUGCAUCGGAAACUGCGGGGCUUGAGUACUGAAGAGGAUCGCGGAAUUCCCGGUGUAGAGGUGAAAUUCGUAGAUAUCGGGAGGAACACCAGUGGCGAAGGCGGCGAUCUGGGCAGAUACUGACGCUGAGGUGCGAAAGCGUGGGGAGCAAACAGGAUUAGAAACCCCUGUAGUCC